GGGGUUGUGAUGGAAUGGCAGACAUGGGUGACUUAAAAUCUCCUGCCUUAACCGGCGGGCGGGUUCGAAACCCGCCAACCCCA
rnacentral:tRNA from 1 species